CUCAGGUGUUAUUCUGUCGUGUAGAUCCAUCUCCCUCACCUGUAACUGAAGAACACAGGUUUUUAAGCGUGGCAUCAAGUUAUCUUCCUCAAUAAUUAAUCAGCCUUUGGGUUCUUCUUGGCACGAAAGCGCUUCUUGGCAGGAGUAGUGGAUUUCAAGUAGCAUCCACUCAUCGGCCAUGUACAAAAGGACUUUGGUUGUGGAGUGCACCGUUAAAGAGAACUGCCCUUGAUGGAACUCAGUACAAUCUCUUACUGUUAGACAGUGAAGGAAUAGAUGCUUAUGAUCAAACAGUAAGUGCAUUUACCUUAUCAAGAUGAACUGAUGAUUGUUGUGUUGGUUUUAUGUUUUAGCAGUUCAAGAAUUUAUGAAAUGGCUAGUAAUCAAUUUUAUUAAUUGAAGAAUUUUUUUUCUGUGAUUCCUUCUUAUUUAUAAUUUACACCAUAUCCUUUUUAUAUUCCCACACAGCUGCUCUUUUGGAUUAUGCAGUAAUUGUUGUUUUGGUUAGCUAGGUUUAUUUACAGCUAAGUUGUUUGUGCUAUGCUUUUUGUACCUUAU